UACAGAGGUCUCAAGCGUUGUUCGGAUUCAUUGGGCGUAAAGGGUGUGUAGGUGGCGCCGUAAGUCGGGUGUGAAAUUUCGGAGCUUAACUCCGAAACUGCAUUCGAUACUGCGGUGCUUGAGGACUGGAGAGGAGACUGGAAUUCGAUGGUGUAGCAGUGAAAUGCGUAGAGAUCAUGAGGAAGACCAGUGGCGAAGGCGGGUCUCUGGACAGUUCCUGACACUGAGACACGAAGGCCAGGGAGCAAACGGG
rnacentral:rRNA from 1 species